AUAACACUUGCACUGCGUGGGCUAUCAAAAUCUCCGCAGACUUUUCUUGAUCAACUCUCAAUCUUUUAGGUUAUAAGGAAUAAUUAUACUAAAUUAUUGUCUUAUCAGUAUCACUGUUUUUAGGUUAUGAGGAAUAAUUAUACCAAAUUAUUGUCUUAUCAGUAUCACUGUCGCCCACCUACCUAUAAUAUAUUCUCAUACAUCCAUCAGUGUGAAUAUAAACAUUAUUUAUUGGUCACUGCAUAUUAGUCAAAUUGUUGAAUCAUGACCUAAAAGAUAUAUAGCUGAAUUAAUUCUUAAUUUCUUAGUAGCCACAAACUCUAAUCACUUAAACACAUUUAAUGUGUUUUUAAUAAAAAUGCAUUUAAUUGCCUUUUAACGUCCACUAUAACUUACGUACGUAAUCACUGGACUUGACGUAGCAAUGAAUCAAAGCAAUCGUAAAGAUAUUCACUACCAACUUGAUGCUGCCAAGUUGCCAACCAAGCAUUUUGGGAAUUUACUACGGGAUGUCCGAUUGGUAUUGAUACUAUUGAUUGGUUGCUUGUACGGGAAAUCGUAAUUAGAAAAUAACAUAAUUUACAUAAUUCCGUUUUAGCCUAUAGCACACAUUCUCAAAAAUAGUGCAAAAAAUUGUAUGUAUAAGCAAUUUAUAGGUAUCUUCAACUACUUAUCACGAUUUUUGACAUAGUGAAUACAAUCUUGUGACAGACAGAGGCGGAAUUAGAGUUAUGUUUGUCCCCCUUUGUGUACAGAACCAAAAAAAUUGUUUCCGCAACAUACAUUGUGGUAAGAAUUAAAGGCCCUGGAGGGAAAGUAGAUUAAAAUCUUAAGUUAGCUCUUUUUACUUUUAUUUUUAAAAAGAAACAAAACUGCAUUACUUUUUUUGACAUACAUUCAUUGUCCAAUUUAGAAACACUUGCUCCAAUAAUCUAAGGCCAGAAACCUUGAUAUUCCCACAACGAGUGCAGGGUACAGUCGCCAUCAGAUAUAUCUGAGCGGCCGAGGUGUGAUCACAAUAUCUGAACACGCAUUCUAACGCCUUGACAAUAGAGGCGUGUAUAGAUAUUUGUGUGCGCCUUGACCGCUCAGAUAUAUCUGAUGGCGACUGUACAGGCCUCUGGCAUGUGGACUUACCAGAAAAACCUGCUGGAUGCCUGUACGUUGAUAAAGCUGGGUAGCUUAGUCUUGUUAUGCACCUUGACAACGAUGUCACGUUAUAGUAAAAUUUAUAAAAAUAUUAUAAAUAAUACGAGUAUUGGCAGGACGUAGAAUCUAAGUUAAAUAAGAUAAGAUAUUUGCAGGUAGCCCUGCAAAUAUCUUAUCUAUUAAUAUAAUGAUAUUAUAGCUCCUUCCGGCAGGUCGACCCUUAGUUGCCUCUGAUGUCCUUCCAUCAGCUCGUCCCGAUCAAAAGUGAGCUCCCAGCUAUUCUCCGUUCCAGGUUCCGCUUACCCCUUCCACGUCGAUCCAGUUUUUUAUAGUAUUGCCAUACAAUAAUUAACAAUUACCCUAAAACCUAUCAGUAAUCACCAUGUUUUAAUUAAUUUUAAUAAAUAUUAUCAAUCAAAUCAUGACAAUAAUGCUAGAGUACCCCUCCCUCUUUUGUUAACAUGCAUAGUUAGAAAAAGACGGGUAGUCUAUCUCGCCGCGAGAUACUGUGGCGCCAAUCAUGUGCUUGCCCUACUGAAAGGUAGCUUGGGAUUACAAAAUAGCCAACAAAACGUUGAAAAGAUCUGUUUGGGUAGGUACUGUUGAAAAUUUCAUAAAUAGUUAGUAACUGUUACCCACUGUUAGGUACUAUAUGGAUGCAGGGACGUGCGGCAAAGUACUCAAACUUCUUUUGUCCUUUUAUUACGGUUCCGUACCCAAAGGGUAAAACGGGACCCUAUUACUAAGACUCUGCUGUCCGUCCGUCCGUCCGUCAGUCUGUCACCAGGCUGUAUCUCACGAACCGUGGUAGAUAGACAGUUGAAAUUUUCACAGAUGAUGUAUUUCUGUUGCCGCUAUAAUAACAAAUACUAAAAACAGAAUAAAAUAAAGAUUUAAGUGGGUCUCCCAUACAAUACAACAAACGUGAUUUUUGACCGAAGUUAAGCAAAGUCGGGCGGGGUCAGUACUUGGAUGGGUGACCGUUUUUAUUUUGCCAUUUUUUGCAUUAUGGUACGGAACCCUUCGUGCGCGAGUCCGACUCGCACUUGCCCGGUUUUAUUCGUAGGUAUAGAUAAAGCUUUAUGACCAAUUGGUGCAAAUUAAAUUUCGUCAACGCAUCAAAAACGUAACCGGGUAAAUAAUACCGAUAGAUACUUUUCCAACUGUUCUCUGUUUUUAAACCACAAUUUAAGUGGCUCCGUUAUUCUAAAACGUCUUUUUAAACCACAAAUCAUUACCUAAAUUGAGACAACAUCAAAUACCCUUCCUUAUAAUAAAUUGAACCUAACUAUCUUCCAUAAUUAUAAGAUAGUAAUUCAAUUUCUUUAAUAUCCGGAUCCCAUCAUGGGACACUUUUUACCACCGUUCUUAUCAAAAGAUAUAACUUUUAAAAUUGAAUUCUAUUACUUAAUAAUAAGGUCCAAAUUAUAUUUUCUUGGAUCUCUGUCUUUAAGUAAUGUUAGAUAGAAAUUAUCUUUACUAAUAGCGGUUAAAGGAGUGUAAAGAUAUUUUAAAACUUUGAUUAGAGAUUUAAAUGUUACAUAAUAAAUAUAGGGCAUUAAUUAUGCUGGCCGAUAUCUUUGUUAUUUAUGUGUUUAGUUUAAUUAAAUUGUUAAAACAUUCUAAAAUAAUGUGUUGAUAUAAGGAAGCGAUUGGGAGGCAAUUAAAAUUGUAGAUGCAUCU